AAGGGAAGUGAACACGUCGUUUGCAUAGCUGGUUCCUGUUGGCGGUGGGGGAGAGGUUGAGCAAUCCCCUGGGCCAUUGCGUAAGCUGGCCCCCUUCACUUUCAGAUGGAGCAGAGCGGGACUGACUGCUAUCAUGCCGUAACGAGUUGCAAUCAGUGUGCAAUGAUGACCAACACUUAGGCAUCACCUCUCCACACACAUAGUCUGCUUGCGUGUUUCAAGCGGCACCACAGGAGUCAACAGCAAUGGAAAAUGCAGUUCUAUUCAUAGAUUGCAUGAGAGUUGCAGGAGGUGAGAGUGUAUGUUGGAUCAUGAGUUUUCAGUGCCAGGUGCUGAAGAGGAAAAGGGUUGACUGGAAACGUUAUGCUUUUUUUUGACUGGAAACGCACAACAUAUUCAUGAACUAUGUGUAAUAUAUUCAUAAAUGCUACAUACUGUAAAUGCAUAUAGUAGUUAUGCAUCCAUCAGUAGGGAUGUCACUGUCAUUGUCUGUUAACCUGUGGUUGUUGAAAUAACAUGACCUAAAAUGAGCAUUUAUUAAUGUUUAGUGCC
ensembl:lncRNA